AGGAGGAGGAGGAGGCACUGACCACAACCAGUAGCCUUGCCUCCCGGCGGUCAUAAACCUUGCUGGAGGAGGCAAGAAGCUCCUGUCAUUCAGAGGAUGCGAGCCACGCCGAGAGAGAGAGACCAGCGCAAGCGGCGGCUCCUUGGCUGAGAAGCGGAUUUCCAAAGGAGCGCGCGCGCCCCAGCCACCGACCAUGAGAUUCCCGCAGCUCCUUUUCAGCUGGGUUUUGCUGCUGACGGGGCUCCUCCUGGUCAACGGACAGAGGCCAGCUAACUUGGCCAACAGACGGAAACUACACAGACAUCACUGUUCCCACAGGAGAUGCAUGCCCCUUCAUUCCAGAGUGCCCUUCCCUUGAGGCACUUAAAGCCAAACAAAAACCAAGCACUGAAUUUAGCCAGUGCCUCUACUCCUUUGAAUCCUGUCUGUCACAGGGUUGGGAGAAAAUGGUAUAGAAGAAACCUUUGCUCUGGUACCCCCUGAGUACAUAUUUUCUUCAAAAUGCUGAGAAAAAGAAAUAAGCACACAAGUCCAGAUGACAUUUUGAUAAUGGCAUAGUUAUAAUCUACAGAGAUAUCCCAUAAGCCAUCAUCAGGAAACGGAGAAAUCCUUGAGAAAACUGUUGGACCAGAUUUUCCUGGAGUUUGGGGAUUCGGAAGAAACAAUUAUCAACCAAAAGAUCUUAUCUAGAAGCACUGGAGAAGCAUCAGUCCAGUGUAUCACCACUUUUCUUGGCAUGUCAACAUAGCAAUCUAGUAGCCAGAAAGCAAACAUUGCAAUGUUAGACAAAUUAUGUCCUUGUAAAAGCCUUUGCUGUAUUAAGUGUUUCUUACUUGUGUAUCUUUUAACACUCUUAUUAAAAAUAUGCAAGAAUGAAAUUAGUAUUUGAUAAACACUUAAUUGCUUAAAGCCACAUUUAAUUAGUUUCACUAUUGCUUGGAGACCAGGUGGCUUUUUUGUUUUUUUCCUAUUGUGUUCAAAAAUUUCUCAGGCCAGCAUUCCUUAAUAUCACGGCCUACCAUCCCUGAAUUUCCAACCACAACAUGUCAACAAGUGCCAGGUUAGAUAAUCUGGCUAUUUUUGAAAGGGGAAAUUCUCAAAUAUUAACUGAAAUUAACUGAAAAAGCUUACAAGCAUGUUUGAACCUUAAAAAUCACUUACACCGGUGGAAAUGCACUGUGUGAUAAUAAGGCUUUGUGUGAUCAGAUACUUAACAGAUCAAUAUUGUAAUGUAUAUCUUGCCAUAGUUCUUGAUACAUUUGUAGCAAUUUUAACACUACAAUCAAUUUAGAUCAUGUAUUGUGAUUCAAUAAUUUCUUAAAGCAUGUUUGUUAACUGUAUAUGUUGUACAAAAUGUAUUUCAAAUAGUACUGUCACAUUAAAUAUUCAUGUAUCUUUUCACAUUUUUGUAUGCUGUACAUUGAAAUGAUCCACUUUCACAGAAACGUGAAAUCUUUGCUUCAUUUAUUUUUAAUUUACACAAGGGAUCAAUAUAAACAGUAAUGAUAUAUCUACCUAAGUAAAAUAUAUAUUAAACCAUUGUUUUUUAAAAUGUUAAGCCAAAAGUAUUAUUACUAGAAUUUAAUCAGAUAAUGGCACAUUAAAGAAAUUGUAAUUUCCAGUUCUUUCAGAAUAAGAAUUAUACAUCUUACUUUGGAGAGAACUACUGAAAUUAAAGAUCAAUAUUUUUAAAUAUCA